rnacentral:lncRNA from 1 species
UCGCAUGCACCUUCCUUCCUGAAUUCCUCGCAACAUUCCCUCUUUCAACAAGAUUUUCGAAAUCUAUCCCCUCACCCUUGGCCUCCAAAAUAACAAAACGAGAACCUUCAAAUCGGCCAUGAUCGCCAACAUUCCUACCUUGCGAUGAGUCACUCAUCUUACCCCUCUGUCGACGUUCGACAACCAUCCAUGGGCCAAAUUCCUCCUCCUUGGCCCUAGAUUGGAGAUUUGACUUUUGAACUCUCGAACCACCUUCCACCGUCGUAUCCUCCGCCAUAGGCGCAUUUUUCUCGUAGCACAGCGUCGAGCUGUGGCCAUAGAGCCCACACGAGAAACAAAUAUUGGGUUAUCCUUCGUAUUCAACUCUUUGAAUCCUUCCAUUUAUUCUUAUUUUUGAAACUAAUGGCUUUUGCAGAUCCACACUAACAACCAGUCUCGUAAAUCUCUCUCUGACUGCUGCAUCUGUUCCAGCAUCAAUCUGAAACACUAGUCUGAUCAUACUUUCGAUGGUCCUUAGCAAAAAGUCAGAGUAAAACCCUUCAAACAGUCCUAGUAAUUGGAUCCAAACCAGUUGUUUGUCCACCUCACUGUUACUUGUUGAGAAAUCCGCAGACCAAGCUCUCACCGACAAGUAAUGACCGAAUACCACCCAUGGGCCACCCAACAGUACCUUGUCAAAGUCACCCUUAUCUUGGAAAUGGACAAGGUAAAAAUCGUUCUCCAGAUCCAAUAACUGAAAUUUACCUUUUAAAUUUCAUAGAGCAGAUACCUUAUUGAGCAAGGCUUUGAAACCUAUUUUCCUACCCAACAGCUUGAUCACAACUGUUAGAGCCAUUUUCUUUUCAAUGAAUCUAUGAACCUGAUCCGAAAACGUAAUGGAAGGGAUCCCGUUACCAUCUCUGUCGUCCCAUCCGUAUCUUGUAACUCAAAGUCCUCAUCCAUACAAACAUCCCCAUUUGGAAUCGAUAAAGCACCCAUUAACUUAGCCUUAUACGAGUCCUUUGCUACAUUGUCCUCUUGCACUGUCUGGCCAUUCCCAUCUAUUAUCGGAUCAGUCAUUAUCUCUGGCUGACGCCUGACCCUUUUCGUAGCCCUUCCAACACCACAGUCCGAGGCUAUAGAGUUAGAACCAAUAGCAAAGUUAACCAACGAGAGAGUUUCAGACAUGUUAAAAUCCUCUUCUCUAUUUCUAUUUUUUUAAUAAUUGGGUAAUGAAAAUGGAUAUUAAGGAUUGAAUCCAAAUAAGAGUCUUAUUUUCUUUUGGGCCAUAAAAGAAAUUCAUUCCAUAAAAAAGAUUUAUUAAGAGUGGAACAUGACUUGUAGCUUUGGUUGGUUUGAUUUAAAAAUAUUUGAUUUGUCAGAAUUAGUUGCGGAAAAUUAAGGUCCUUCUAGUACUUAAUCAACAUAUUUUAUAGUAUUUUUAUAUGUUUUGAUUUCAUUUUUAGUUUUUAUUGUUUUAUGUUUAAAUUAUGCAAAAUAAACGUUUUUAUACAAUUUUGAGUUAUGUAAUAAUCUAAUGGGCCACUAUGGGCUUAGGGAUGAUCUAACGACUCUAUCUAGUGUGUAGGACACUGUUUUUGGGCUUAGAAAACGAAGGACGACUGUAGCAUUGAAACACGUGACACCGAGGAGUGGUGUCCAAAGUACCCAGAAAUUAAAGGCAGUGUCACGACACCAGUCUUGUGGUGUCACAACAUCAAGUGAAGAGAUGAAAUUUUAAUUAAGGUAUUUUUUGUCCACACAAAGUAACUUAAACAGCUUUUUUGGGUUGUUUAAUAACCUUAAUUAGGUCUGAUCAUAAACUCUAUAAAUAGAUAUUUUAAGUCUCAUUUGAGGAGGCUUGACUAAUUGAGUCACUUAGUUAUUUUAGGGUUUUACUUUAGUUUUUAUUUUCUUCCAAUUUAAUCCUUUACAUACUUUUUGUUCUUGUUUAACUUGGAUUCAAUUGUGCUCCAAUAGUUUAAUAUAUUAGUUUUUUUGUUAUUUCUUCGUGGAUUCCAAUUGCAAUCGAAGGGAUCUUCGUGACUAUCAAAGGAGAUUCGCUUUCGAGCUCAAAUCGAUAUUGAAACGAACUUAUUUUUCUAUUCCUUACUUUUAUUUAAUUUACUGUUUUUUUAUGUUAAAUAUGAGUUUAAGGAUUAUUGCAUCUAGACCACGAAGAGCUAAUUUCCUUAGGGAGAUUAACGAACGAAUGUGUGACUAAUUAACGGAUGAAUUAAGGUUGAGAUUCGAGUUAGCUGGUUUAAAUUAUGUGCGACUAAACCCUAGGAAGUAACACCCCUAGGAAGUAAUUUAGGAUAAACGAGAUCGAGAGAUAAGUUUACUGAGUACCUCAUAAUUUAUCCAGGUUAAGAAAGUGAGAACAAGAGGUAAGCGAGUAUUGGUCGAUUAGUUAAUUAGUUAGAGACUGAAAGGUAAUAAUUGAUUAAUUAAUAGCUAACUCGAUAAAACCUAAGUUCUGAAGUUAAUUAGGAGCACUGAAGUGAGUUGAUAUCCUUCUUGUUUUAUUGGAUUAAAUUUGGUUGUUAAUUGGUUGAUUUUUAGUUUAAUUUAAUUAAUUGAUGUUAAUUUUAUUUUUUGUAAUAUAAUUUUAAAUUGAUAUUAUUUAACCUCAUUAAUGUAGAGAGUUAAUUUAGGUCUAAUUCAACCUCCCUUGAGUAUGAUCCUUGGAAUGUUUCUCGAAGUGUUUUUUUGUAAUACUAAUCUGUAUUACAAUUUGACCUGUAUAUUUGCGGACAUCACUGUUUAAUUAUUUAUCUAUUUUAUUGCAAUAUUUUUAGUUCAGGUGUUCGCAACAUUGACCAUUUGGGUAAUGAUGUUUGGUAGAUUAGAGAAGAAUAAAUCAUAAUUUGGGGAAACUUCCCUCAGAGUCAAGACACUCUCUUAUUGGUGUCGCGGCAUUGAUUUUUUGUCCUCGUAGUCGCGAUUCUCCCCUAUUAAGGUUGCAACAUUGAAUCCCCCUGCCUUCAAGGUCGCAACUCACCUCGAUUAAAGUCGCGAUGCAUGUUUCUGUCUUCAAUGUUAUGAUAUGUCUACAUCAUGGUCGUGAUAUCUCAUUUGUCUUUUGAAAAUUUUACGUUUUAUUCCUUCCAUUAAUAUCGAUGUUAACAAGGGAUUUCAUAUACUAGUUUAUAAUCUGAAUUUAAUUUAAUAAUACGGUUAUUAAGUUUUGGAACCUGAUAACUUGUUUAUUAGAUAUGCAAAUGCAAUUGUCGUUGUUUUGACAACAAAUUUAACAUUUCACAUCUCGGAUCUCGCGAUUAGUUCAGGUGUGGGAUGUUGUAUAUUACCAUAAUCUUAUUCACACAUAUGAUUUGCUUGGAUGGUAACCAAGUCCUGGUGGCAAUAGCUUGCAACGCAACAUAUGUCAGUUCCAACUCAAAAAAUUCUAAAAUCUUGCCCAUUAGGCCAAAUCUUCCUCAAUCCGUUAGUAAAAAGUUCUACCAAAUUGUCCUUGUCAAGGGUGGAGUCCGUCUUCUCUUGAAUGCUUCAAAUACUUGAUGAUAGUUGGACUAAAGAUGAAAUAAAGUCCACGAACAUAUGUUUGCAUAAAGUGUUUAUCAUUAGGAUCAGUGACUGUCUUCUAAAGAUUGGUCCAAAACCAUUUUUUGGACAUAAGGCUUGACACAAC